rnacentral:rRNA from 1 species
UACAGAGGGGGCAAGCGUUAUUCGGAAUUAUUGGGCGUAAAGCGCGUGUAGGCGGCUUUUCAAGUGACGGGUGAAAUCCCUCGGCUUAACCGAGGAACUGCCUGUCAGACUGGAAGGCUUGAGACCGGGAGAGGUGAGUGGAAUUCCCAGUGUAGCGGUGAAAUGCGUAGAUAUUGGGAGGAACACCAGUGGCGAAGGCGGCUCACUGGACCGGAACUGACGCUGAGGCGCGAAAGCGUGGGGAGCAAACAGG